CCCGCUCAGUUUAAGCAUAUAAUUAAGCAGAGGAAAAGAAACUUACAAGGAUUCCCCUAGUAAUGGCGAGCAAACCGGGAAGAACCCAGCAUGAAAAUCAGGUGGCAGUGUCACCUGAAUUGUAGUCUGUAGAAGCGUCCUUAGCAGAAGACCAGGCCCAAGUCCCCUGGAAGGGGGCGCCUGAGAGGGUGAUAGCCCCGUCGGGCCGGGACCCUACCGCACCACGAGGCAUUGUUGGCGAGUCAGGUUGUUUGGGAAUGCAGCCCUAAUCGGGUGGUAAAUUUUGUCCAAGGAUAAAUACGGGCAAGAGACUAAUAGAGAAAAAGUACCGUGAGGGAAAGAUGAAAAGGACUUUGAAAAGAGAGUUAAAGAGUGCGUGAAAUUGCCAGGAGGGAAGCAGAUGGAGGCCGAUGAUGUGUCUUGAUUGGAUGCGAAAUGGCUCAAGCUGGUCCAUCACUCGACUUGAGGUGUGAACCAUCACAGGUCGUUGCACCAGCAUAAGCACAGGUGGAGUACUGCCGGUUGGUUUUCCAUUGUGGCAGUCGAGGAACAAAGCGUGCACCCUUGGGACGGGCCACUAUGAACCUACAUGCUCGUGGUGUUGGUUGGCGGGCUUUCCAUUCAACCCGUCUUGAAACACGGACCAAGGAGUCUAACAUGUGUGCGAGUAGGUGGGUUUGUAAACCUGUGAGGUGUAAGGAAGUUGACGGGCGAGAACCCCUCUCCAUGGGGUGCAUUAUCGACCGACCGGGAGCUUGUGCGAAGGUUUUGAGUGAGAGCACACCUGUUGGGACCCGAAAGAUGGUGAACUAUGACUGAGUAGGGCAAAGCCAGAGGAAACUCUGGUGGAGGCCUGUAGUGAUACUGAUGUGAAAAUCAUUUGUCUGACUUGGGUAUAGGGGUGUAGGGAAGAAGAGAUGAUAAAAAAGAAAAAUGAUGACAUCGCAUCCUUAAGAAAACAGUUGAAACUCUCACCCACAGAGGAUUCACAGGUGAAGGAGAUAGCAGAAAA
rnacentral:ncRNA from 1 species